CUGUAGGGGAGGGAGCGAUGUUCUCUCCUACCGUUCCGGUGCCUCUGAAAGUUGUAGCUUCGGUGUACAGUGUUUCUAGAGUCUACAGCAGUGCACAGUAAUGUCCCAGGCCUUCACAUCCACUCACCGUUCACUCACUGACUCACCCAGAGCAACUUCCAGUCCUGCCAGCUCCAUUCAUGGCCAGCGAGUGAUAUAUGCGGUAGGAUAUUCCCUCAUGAUGCUGGGCAGCGAGCCACAGCUCCCAGUCAACUUCCCAAGCCCAAAGACAAAGAAGCUGAGAUUCUUAAGAAAUUGGUUAGAAUUAAAGAACGGCUUUCUAACUCCAGCAUCUACGCUAUGUCUGCUAUAAUACAACUGCC
rnacentral:lncRNA from 1 species